rnacentral:rRNA from 1 species
GACGAACCGUGCAAACGUUAUUCGGAAUCACUGGGCUUAAAGGGCGCGUAGGCGGGCAUUCAAGUCCGGGGUGAAAUCCUCCAGCUUAACUGGAGAAGUGCCUCGGAUAUUGAGUGCCUCGAGUGAGGCAGGGGCAUCUGGAACAGCCGGUGGAGCGGUGAAAUGCGUUGAUAUCGGCUGGAACUCCGGUGGCGAAGGCGAGGUGCUGGUCCUUAACUGACGCUGAGGCGCGAAAGCCAGGGUAGCGAACGGG